GACAUGCCUAAAACUUUAAAUCUUUAUGAUGAUUUAUAAGUGAAAUAUUGUUGGAGCUAAGCCCUUAUAAUCAACUAUUGUAAUCAAAUGAUUAUAUUAGUGGAAUCUAAGAGCAUGGAGUGUUUUUAGAUAGUAGAUGUAACCUAGUGUUGAACCACUUUAAAAAUAAUGUGUCAACAUAUACAACCCAUCUUGACCUAUGCUUCAC
rnacentral:lncRNA from 1 species